UGUUUGCUACCAGAUGUAUCUUUUUUCUUUUUCCUGCAGUGCUAGAGAUGGAAUCCAAGGCCUUGCACAUAGAAGAUGGACACUCUACCACUGACCUACACCUCUAACCCCUGAGCCAUGUUGUUAACUGCCUAUAGAAAACCAGGCAUGGUGGAGCUGUAGUCCCAGGUACUUGGGAGGCUAAGGUGGAAGGUUCACUUGAACUCAGAAGUUCCAGAGCAGCCUGGGCCACAAACAGAACAAAAGGAAUCACUGCCUAUAGAAAGCUACCUGGCCACUCCCUGCAAGCUGUGUGUGGCCCUUGCCCUUUGGCUCUGCAGAAAAGAGACCUCACCAUCUAAAUUGGUUGGAACUCAAAACUAUGAAAUUGCUCUUUAGCUGGCCAGGAAACAAAAGUGUUUUCUCAGGGUGGCUGAGCAUUGUGUGUUCCCGGCACGCAUCUGUAAGCCCACAGCUGAAUGAGAGUGCAAGGAGGGGCGGAUGGAAGCCAACUGACAAGAAGACUAAAUUCUAUCAAUUUGUCCCUGUCAUGUGAGUCAUUUCCAUUGCUCCAACUGCAGGCACUUCAGAUACAGCCAUUUCUGUUCUCCCCGGGUUUCCAAAUGGGAAUACCUGCACAAUACUUCCCACUGAAAAAUGAGUUGCAACCUUGACUCUCCUAGCUGAGGGGCCUUCUAGGGACUUUGGGAAAGCUAAUAAGCAAGGUAAAAGUGUGAUCCUCUCACAUGACUGGAAAUAUGAGGUCCAUUCUAUGA